CCUACGGGCGGCAGCAGUGAGGAAUAUUGGUCAAUGGACGAGCGUCUGAACCAGCCAAGUAGCGUGAAGGAUGACUGCCCUAUGGGUUGUAAACUUCUUUUAUAUGGGAAUAAAAUGUUCCACGUGUGGGAUUUUGUAUGUACCAUAUGAAUAAGGAUCGGCUAACUCCGUGCCAGCAGCCGCGGUAAUACGGAGGAUCCGAGCGUUAUCCGGAUUUAUUGGGUUUAAAGGGAGCGUAGGUGGAUUGUUAAGUCAGUUGUGAAAGUUUGCGGCUCAACCGUAAAAUUGCAGUUGAAACUGGCAGUCUUGAGUACAGUAGAGGUGGGCGGAAUUCGUGGUGUAGCGGUGAAAUGCUUAGAUAUCACGAAGAACUCCGAUUGCGAAGGCAGUUCACUGGACUGCAACUGACACUGAGGCUCGAAAGUGUGGGUAUCAAACAGGAUUAGAUACCCGGGUAGUC
rnacentral:rRNA from 1 species